rnacentral:rRNA from 1 species
AGUGAACGCUGGCGGUAGGCCUAACACAUGCAAGUCGAACGGCAGCACAGUAAGAGCUUGCUCUUACGGGUGGCGAGUGGCGGACGGGUGAGGAAUACAUCGGAAUCUACUUUUUCGUGGGGGAUAACGUAGGGAAACUUACGCUAAUACCGCAUACGACCUACGGGUGAAAGCAGGGGAUCUUCGGACCUUGCGCGAUUGAAUGAGCCGAUGUCGGAUUAGCUAGUUGGCGGGGUAAAGGCCCACCAAGGCGACGAUCCGUAGCUGGUCUGAGAGGAGGUCCGGCCACACUGGAACUGAGACACGGUCCAGACUCCUACGGGAGGCAGCAGUGGGGAAUAUUGGACAAUGGGCGCAAGCCUGAUCCAGCCAUACCGCGUGGGUGAAGAAGGCCUUCGGGUUGUAAAGCCCUUUUGUUGGGAAAGAAAAGCAGCAGGUUAAUACCCCGCUGUUCUGACGGUACCCUAAGAAUAAGCACCGGCUAACUUCGUG